UGGUGCGUGUGUAUGGUAGAGGAGCGUUCUGUAAGCCGUUGAAGGUGAACCGGGAGGUUUGCUGGAGGUAUCAGAAGUGCGAAUGCUGACAUGAGUAACGACAAGGGGAGUGAAAAACUCCCCCGCCGGAAGAUCAAGGUUUCCUGUCCAACGCUAAUCGGGACAGGGUGAGUCGGCCCCUAAGGCGAGGCAGAAAUGCGUAGUCGAUGGGAAACGGGUUAAUAUUCCUGUACUUCUUUAUAUUGCGAUGGGGGGACGGAGUAGGCUAGGCCAUCAGGGUGUUGGUUGUCCCUGUUUAAGGUUGUAGGCUGUGUGUUUAGGUAAAUCCGGACGCACUCUUUAAAUAGAAAAGCUGAGAGCUGAUGACGAGUGUCACUGCGAGGUGACGCGAAGUGGUUGAUGCCAUGCUUCCAAGAAAAGCCUCUAAGCUUCAGAUAUAAAGGAACCGUACUGUAAACCGACACAGGUGAUCAGGUAGAGAAUACCAAGGCGCUUGAGAGAACUCGGGUGAAGGAACUAGGCAAAAUGGUACCGUAACUUCGGGAGAAGGUACGCCGGUUUGGGUGAUGGGACUUGCUUCCUGAGCCUGGGCCGGCCGAAGUGACCAGGUGGCUGCGACUGUUUAUUAAAAACAUAGCACUGUGCAAACACGUAAGUGGACGUAUACGGUGUGACGCCUGCCCGGUACCGGAAGGUUAAUUGAUGGGGUUAUCUUCGGAGAAGCUCUUGAUCGAAGCCCCGGUAAACGGCGGCCGUAACGAUAACGGUCCUAAGGUAGCGAAAUUCCUUGUCGGGUAAGUUCCGACCUGCACGAAUGGCAUAACGAUGGCCACACUGUCUCCACCCGAGACUCAGUGAAAUUGAAAUCGCUGUUAAGAUGCAGUGUACCCGCGGCUAGACGGAAAGACCCCGUGAACCUUUACUAUAGCUUCACACUGGACUUUGACCUUACCUGUGUAGGAUAGCUGGGAGGCUUUGAAGCGGUGGCGCCAGCCAUCGUGGAGCCAACCUUGAAAUACCAGCCUGGUAAUGUUGGGGUUCAAACUCAGGUCCGUAAUCCGGAUCGAGGACAGUGUGUGGUGGGUAGUUUGACUGGGGCGGUCUCCUCCCAAAGAGUAACGGAGGAGCACGAAGGUGCGCUAAUCACGGUCGGAAAUCGUGAGGUUAGUGUAAAGGCACAAGCGCGCUUGACUGCGAGUCUGACAAGACGAGCAGGUACGAAUGUAGGUCCUAGUGAUCCGGUGGUUCUGUAUGGAAGGGCCAUCGCUCAACGGAUAAAAGGUACUCCGGGGAUAACAGGCUGAUACCGCCCAAGAGUUCACAUCGACGGCGGUGUUUGGCACCUCGAUGUCGGCUCAUCACAUCCUGGGGCUGAAGCCGGUCCC
rnacentral:rRNA from 1 species